rnacentral:antisense_RNA from 1 species
GGGUGCUUGAGACUGUGUGUCUCAGGUAUUCAGCGGGAGACAGACAGAGAAAAGCCCCACCUGAUAGUCAUCAAAGUGAGGCUCCCCUAAUGCAUGAACACCAUAAGCGUAGCCUCUUACUUGUUUAAAAUCAACAUGGUAGGCGAGGAGU